GUCCUGUUGCAGACCAAUCAAACCCACCUCUUGCUUUUCUCUUUUGGCAAGUAUUCACCAAAAUUGCAUUAUUGAUAGGGCAAUGAAUGAAUGACACCAUCACUAUUGUUACGCGCUGAGCUUUUUCCUUUUUCUUUUACGUAUAUCUUUCUUCUUUUUUCUGUUUUCUUUUCCAAAAGGUUGACUGAUUAUAACGAAAUAGUUUCUUUCCACAUGCUGCUGCUGGAUAAGGAAUCUCAUCAAUGGCGAAAGGAAGAAUAACAUCCCUUCCUUCCCACACUCAUUGAAUAACAUUACUUUCUUCUUGUCUUUUCUAUCUUCCUUGUGAUUCUUCCUUGCUGUGGCGCUUCUCUUCUGUUUGCUAACAUCUCUCUGCUACUUCAUCCUACUGCUGAAUUUCUAAAUAAUACACUUCUUUUCUUUUUAUGCAAGGCAAAGUAAAAAAUACAGGGUGAGUACAGAAGUGUAAUGUAACAAAGUAGCGGGUAUUAAAAAAAAAAUGCAAACGUGAGAGAGGAAACAAACACAGGAAGGAAUGCAGGCCUAAUCAGUAAUCACUCGGGGACCAAAUGAGACACAGGAAGGAAGAUGCCACCAUAUUUGCAUAUCUUGCAGCUUAACAGAGGAUCCAUUUAAAGGCUUGGAACUAGUGGAAUUUGGUGGGUGUAACACUACGGCUCAUGUGUCCAUGCGUCUUAAUUUAAUUGCUCAUGUGUUGCGAGUGUAAUUACCGAAUUGCCUUCCCUUAAUGUCAUUAUGUACAUUGAGCUUAAUUCUCUACUCCUUAAGGCCCGAAUUCGUUGGGUCUUGGGAUUUACUUCUUGACCCAAGAUGUU